GAUGAACGCUGGCGGCGUGCCUAAUACAUGCAAGUCGAGCGAACAGAUGAGGAGCUUGCUCCUCUGACGUUAGCGGCGGACGGGUGAGUAACACGUGGAUAACCUACCUAUAAGACUGGGAUAACUUCGGGAAACCGGAGCUAAUACCGGAUAAUAUAUUGAACCGCAUGGUUCAAUAGUGAAAGACGGUUUUGCUGUCACUUAUAGAUGGAUCCGCGCUGCAUUAGCUAGUUGGUAAGGUAACGGCUUACCAAGGCAACGAUGCGUAGCCGACCUGAGAGGGUGAUCGGCCACACUGGAACUGAGGCACAGUCCAGACUCCUACGGGAGGCAGCAGUAGGGAAUCUUCCGCAAUGGGCGAAAGCCUGACGGGGCAACGCCGCGUGAGUGAUGAGGGUCUUCGGAUCGUAAAACUCUGUUAUUGGGGAAGAACAAAUGUGUAAGUAACUAUGCACGUCUUGACGGUACCUAAUCAGAGAGACACGGCUAACUACGUG
rnacentral:rRNA from 1 species